CAUCCUUGAGCUCCAUUUUAAAAUUAGCCACCAAGCCAUAGCAUAAAAGAUGCAAAUAGAAAGGCUUCACCUCCUUAGAGGAACAUCAUGAAAACUAGUAACUAGUUUUUCAAAAGCAUCUUCUUCAACCAUCAAAAAGGAGAUCAAAUUGCCUUUUGACAUGACUAUUGGUUACUACAGACUCCCUUAAAGAAGCUCUUCCCAACUCUAUUCACCCUAGAUGACAAAUCAGAAGCUUUUAUCGCUGCCUUCAUGGAAAGCUUGCCACUACCAAUCAAGGGAUAUGCACUAUCUGACCGCCCA
rnacentral:lncRNA from 1 species